rnacentral:rRNA from 1 species
AUUGAACGCUGGCGGCAUGCCUUACACAUGCAAGUCGAACGGUAACAGGUCUUCGGAUGCUGACGAGUGGCGAACGGGUGAGUAAUACAUCGGAACGUGCCCGAGAGUGGGGGAUAACGAGGCGAAAGCUUUGCUAAUACCGCAUACGAUCUUAGGAUGAAAGCAGGGGACCGCAAGGCCUUGCGCUCACGGAGCGGUCGAUGGCAGAUUAGGUAGUUGGUGGGAUAAAAGCUUACCAAGCCGACGAUAUGUAGCUGGUCUGAGAGGACGACCAGCCACACUGGGACUGAGACACGGCCCAGACUCCUACAGGAGGCAGCAGUGGGGAAUUUUGGACAAUGGACGCAAGCCUGACCCAGCCAUGCCGCGUGCAGGAUGAAGGCCUUCGGGUUGUAAACUGCUUUUGUACGGGACGAAAAGACUCUGGUUAAUACCUGGGGUCCAUGACGGUACCGUAAGAAUAAGCACCGGCUAACUACGUGCCAGCCGCCGCGGUAAUAC